rnacentral:rRNA from 1 species
ACAGCAGUAGCCGCGGGAAUACGUAGGUGGCAAGCGUUGUCCGGAAUUAUUGGGCGUAAAGGGCUCGCAGGCGGUUUCUUAAGUCUGAUGUGAAAGCCCCCGGCUCAACCGGGGAGGGUCAUUGGAAACUGGGAAACUUGAGUGCAGAAGAGGAGAGUGGAAUUCCACGUGUAGCGGUGAAAUGCGUAGAGAUGUGGAGGAACACCAGUGGCGAAGGCGACUCUCUGGUCUGUAACUGACGCUGAGGAGCGAAAGCGUGGGGAGCGAACAGGAUUAGAUACCCCCGUAGUCCCUGUCUCUUAUAU